GACGAACGCUGGCGGCGUGCUUAACACAUGCAAGUCGAACGGAAAGGCCCUGCUUUUGUGGGGUGCUCGAGUGGCGAACGGGUGAGUAACACGUGAGUAACCUGCCCUUGACUGUGGGAUAACUUCAGGAAACUGGGGCGAAUACCGGAUAGGAGCUCCUGCUGCAUGGUGGGGGUUGGAAAGUUUCGGCGGUUGGGGAUGGACUCGCGGCUUAUCAGCUUGUUGGUGGGGUAGUGGCUUACCAAGGCUUUGACGGGUAGCCGGCCUGAGAGGGUGACCGGCCACAUUGGGACUGAGAUACGGCCCAGACUCCUACGGGAGGCAGCAGUGGGGAAUAUUGCACAAUGGGCGGAAGCCUGAUGCAGCAACGCCGCGUGCGGGAUGACGGCCUUCGGGUUGUAAACCGCUUUCGCCUGUGACGAAGCGUGAGUGACGGUAAUGAGUAAAGAAGCACCGGCUAACUACGUG
rnacentral:rRNA from 1 species